CGAGGUGCUGGUCAUCAGCUGGGAAGACUCUGGCUCCUCCGACUACACCCGGGGGAACCUAGUCCGCCUGGGGCUGGCCGGGCUGGUCCUCAUCUCCCUGGGCGCGCUGGUCACUUUUGACUGGCGCAGUCAGAACCGCGCUCCUGCUGGUAUCCGCCCCUGAGCCCCAGGAGUACUGCAGCCCGAGACUUCCAACCUGAGUGGCGGAGAAGCUGGGACCCUGGGCUGGACUGUCCUUUCCCACAGCCCCGCAGUCCUGCUGGCUGAGCCCCGCAGAACGGUCCUUAGAACCCCCUGUGCCCUGUGCUGUAGCUUCUUUCCAGGCCUUUCCCAAGGAGUAGCUGAGAGGAAGACGCGAUCAGUGGUUAAGACUUCCAAGCCAGAAGACAGAGGGUUCGAAUCCCAGCACUGCCGUCUACUCACUGUAGUAGUAGCAGCUACAGAAAGGUAGUAGUGAGACGUGAAGCCAGCUGGACUUCCUGGGUUGAAUGGGGACCUGGAGAACUUUUCUGUCUUACAAGAGGAUUGUAAAAUGGACCAAUCAGCACUCUGUAAAAUGGACCAAUCAGCACUCUGUAAGAUGGACCAAUCAGUGCUCUGUAAAAUGGACCAAUCAGCAGGACAUAGGCGGGGACAAUAAGGGAAUAAACGCUGGCCAGCGCGGCACCCCACCAGAGUCCGCUUCCACGCUGUGGGAGCUGUGUUCUCUUGCUCUACACAAUAAAUCUUGCUGCUGCUAACCCUUUAGGUCCGUGCCAUCUUUAAGCGCUGUAACACUCACCACGAAGGUCCCUGGCUCCAUUCUUAAAGUCAGC
rnacentral:lncRNA from 1 species